AGCAGUGUGCGUGCGUUGGCGUGCGUGUGAUGUGGUGUGGACUAUGGAUAGGACGGGUAGUCACGGCUUGAGUUCUUCGCUGGGACCCGAUCCUUCGAGGGGUAGUCACGGCUUGAGUUCUUCGCUGGGACCCUCGAUUUGGUUAUUAAGUGGAAGUCCGAGCUGAGUUCUUCGCUGGCACCAGGUUGGAUUUAAGAGAGCUGUAUAGGGGAUCAGCUCCCAUAUAUUAUGAUUGAUGUUACAGGGCCACAGGAGGAUAUUUUGUUCUGGGUUAACCUGCUUUUCUCCUUCGCAGGUGUUUAUCAAUAAUUGUGUAAUUUUAUUUACUCCUAGAAUUUCCGCAUGUGUUAGCAGUAAUUAUUUGAAUUUGGUCUGUAAUAUUAUAUUCAUGUUGGACCUGUAAACUUAAUAUUUUAAGUAUGUUUUGAUGGAUUGGAUGAGGGAGCUGAGCUCCCAUUUAUUAUUA